UACGGAGGGUGCAAGCGUUAUCCGGAUUUACUGGGUUUAAAGGGUGCGUAGGCGGGCCAUUAAGUCAGUGGUGAAAGCUCCGAGCUUAACUCGGAAACUGCCAUUGAUACUAUUGGUCUUGAAUUCGGUCGAGGUUGGCGGAAUGUGUCGUGUAGCGGUGAAAUGCUUAGAUAUGACACAGAACACCGAUUGCGAAGGCAGCUAGCUAGACCGACAUUGACGCUGAGGCACGAGAGCGUGGGGAUCAAGCAGG
rnacentral:rRNA from 1 species